GAUGGACGCUGGCGGCGUGCCUAAUACAUGCAAGUCGAGCGAACAGACGAGGAGCUCGCUCCUCUGACGUUAGCGGCGGACGGGUGAGUAACACGUGGAUAACCUACCUAUAAGACUGGGAUAACUUCGGGAAACCGGAGCUAAUACCGGAUAAUAUAUUGAACCGCAUGGUUCAAUAGUGAAAGACGGUUUUGCUGUCACUUAUAGAUGGAUCCGCGCCGCAUUAGCUAGUUGGUAAGGUAACGGCUUACCAAGGCAACGAUGCGUAGCCGACCUGAGAGGGUGAUCGGCCACACCGGAACUGAGACACGGUCCAGACUCCUACGGGAGGCAGCAGUAGGGAAUCUUCCGCAAAGGGCGAAAGCUUGACGGAGCAACGCCGCGUGAGUGAUGAAGGUCUUCGGAUCGUAAAACUCUGUUAUUAGGGAAGAACAAAUGUGUAAGUAACUAUGCACGUCUUGACGGUACCUAAUCAGAAAGCCACGGCUAACUACGUG
rnacentral:rRNA from 1 species